AUUCUUACUUAACUGGAAGAAAACAAGUAUGAAAGGUUGGUAUAAUGUGGCAUUCUGCUGUGGCAUGUGAUGCCAAAGAAAGUCCCAGCUGUUUGCUGCUGGCUGAUAGCUAUUAUGAAACUCUUCCCCAAGGUGUUGUCUGAUUUGAACAACUUAUUCUAUUUGGUCUAAUUGUGCAAAGAUGAAGUAUUGUGUGUUUUGAUCAGUA
rnacentral:misc_RNA from 1 species